rnacentral:misc_RNA from 1 species
UAAUAAGUGUUUUAUGGCACUUUUUAAAUCCAUAUCCACCUUGUGUGCAAUGUCGGUCGAUCUUCUUCACGGAGAUCGACCAAACAUCAACCUUUAUCUUUUAACUCUUUGUCUGAAAAAUAUUAUGAAUAAACAAUUCAAAAUA